GGGAAUAUUGCACAAUGGGCGCAAGCCUGAUGCAGCCAUGCCGCGUGUGUGAAGAAGGCCUUCGGGUUGUAAAGCACUUUCAGCGAGGAGGAAGGGUAGUGUGUUAAUAGCACAUUGCAUUGACGUUACUCGCAGAAGAAGCACCGGCUAACUCCGUGCCAGCAGCCGCGGUAAUACGGAGGGUGCAAGCGUUAAUCGGAAUUACUGGGCGUAAAGCGCACGCAGGCGGUUUGUUAAGUCAGAUGUGAAAUCCCCGCGCUUAACGUGGGAACUGCAUUUGAAACUGGCAAGCUAGAGUCUUGUAGAGGGGGGUAGAAUUCCAGGUGUAGCGGUGAAAUGCGUAGAGAUCUGGAGGAAUACCGGUGGCGAAGGCGGCCCCCCUGGACAAAGACUGACGCUCAGGUGCGAAAGCGUGGGGAGCAAACAGGAUUAGAUACCCUG
rnacentral:rRNA from 1 species